rnacentral:snRNA from 1 species
AAAUCUUUGAAUCAUCUGUUCCUAUCAGUUUAAUAUCUGAUACGUCCCCCAUCGGGGGACUACAUAUUAAAUGGAUUUUUCGAAACAGGGAGUCGGAAACUUGGCUUGCUCUGUCCACUCCACACAUCGACCCGGUAUUGCAAAACCUCCGCGAAUGGUGCAACACUU